UACGUAGGGCGCAAGCGUUUGUCCGGAAUUAUUGGGCGUAAAGAGCUCGUAGGCGGCUUGUCACGUCGGGUGUGAAAGCCCGGGGCUUAACCCCGGGUCUGCAUUCGAUACGGGCAGGCGUAGAGUGUGGUAGGGGAGAUCGGAAUUCCUGGUGUAGCGGUGAAAUGCGCAGAUAUCAGGAGGAACACCGGUGGCGAAGGCGGAUCUCUGGGCCAUACCUGACGCUGAGACGCGAAAGCGUGGGGAGCAAACAGG
rnacentral:rRNA from 1 species